rnacentral:misc_RNA from 1 species
GAUGAAGAACGCAGCGAAAUGCGAUAAGUAAUGUGAAUUGCAGAAUUCAGUGAAUCAUCGAAUCUUUGAACGCACAUUGCGCCCGCCAGUAUUCAGGCGGGCAUGCCUGUUCGAGCGUCAUUUCAACCAUCAAGCCCCCGGCUUGUGUUGGGGACCUGCGGCUGCCGCAGGCCCUGAAAACCAGUGGCGGGCUCGCUAGUCACUCCGAGCGUAGUAAUACAUCUCGCUCAGGGCGUGCUGCGGGUUCCGGCCGUUAAAAAGCCUUAUUUACCCAAGGUUGACCUCGGAUCAGGUAGGAAGACCCGCUGAACUUAAGCAUAUCAAUAAGCGGAGGA